rnacentral:rRNA from 1 species
UACGGGGGGAGCAAGCGUUGUUCGGAUUUACUGGGCGUAAAGGGCGCGUAGGCGGCCACCGCAAGUCGGUUGUGAAAUCUCUGGGCUUAACCCAGAAAGGUCAACCGAUACUGCGGGGCUAGAGUGCAGAAGGGGCAACUGGAAUUCUCGGUGUAGCGGUGAAAUGCGUAGAUAUCGAGAGGAACACCUGCGGCGAAGGCGGGUUGCUGGGCUGACACUGACGCUGAGAGACGAAAGCUAGGGGAGCGAAUGGG